rnacentral:rRNA from 1 species
UUGAAGAGUUUGAUCAUGGCUCAGAUUGAACGCUGGCGGCAGGCCUAACACAUGCAAGUCGAGCGGUAGCACAGAGAGCUUGCUCUCGGGUGACGAGCGGCGGACGGGUGAGUAAUGUCUGGGAAACUGCCUGAUGGAGGGGGAUAACUACUGGAAACGGUAGCUAAUACCGCAUAAUGUCGCAAGACCAAAGUGGGGGACCUUCGGGCCUCAUGCCAUCAGAUGUGCCCAGAUGGGAUUAGCUAGUAGGUGGGGUAAUGGCUCACCUAGGCGACGAUCCCUAGCUGGUCUGAGAGGAUGACCAGCCACACUGGAACUGAGACACGGUCCAGACUCCUACGGGAGGCAGCAGUGGGGAAUAUUGCACAAUGGGCGCAAGCCUGAUGCAGCCAUGCCGCGUGUGUGAAGAAGGCCUUCGGGUUGUAAAGCACUUUCAGCGGGGAGGAAGGCGUUAAGGUUAAUAACCUUGGCGAUUGACGUUACCCGCAGAAGAAGCACCGGCUAACUCCGUGCCAGCAGCCGCGGUAAUACGGAGGGUGCAAGCGUUAAUCGGAAUUACUGGGCGUAAAGCGCACGCAGGCGGUCUGUCAAGUCGGAUGUGAAAUCCCCGGGCUCAACCUGGGAACUGCAUUCGAAACUGGCAGGCUAGAGUCUUGUAGAGGGGGGUAGAAUUCCAGGUGUAGCGGUGAAAUGCGUAGAGAUCUGGAGGAAUACCGGUGGCGAAGGCGGCCCCCUGGACAAAGACUGACGCUCAGGUGCGAAAGCGUGGGGAGCAAACAGGAUUAGAUACCCUGGUAGUCCACGCCGUAAACGAUGUCGAUUUGGAGGUUGUGCCCUUGAGGCGUGGCUUCCGGAGCUAACGCGUUAAAUCGACCGCCUGGGGAGUACGGCCGCAAGGUUAAAACUCAAAUGAAUUGACGGGGGCCCGCACAAGCGGUGGAGCAUGUGGUUUAAUUCGAUGCAACGCGAAGAACCUUACCUGGUCUUGACAUCCACAGAACUUUCCAGAGAUGGAUUGGUGCCUUCGGGAACUGUGAGACAGGUGCUGCAUGGCUGUCGUCAGCUCGUGUUGUGAAAUGUUGGGUUAAGUCCCGCAACGAGCGCAACCCUUAUCCUUUGUUGCCAGCGGUUCGGCCGGGAACUCAAAGGAGACUGCCAGUGAUAAACUGGAGGAAGGUGGGGAUGACGUCAAGUCAUCAUGGCCCUUACGACCAGGGCUACACACGUGCUACAAUGGCAUAUACAAAGAGAAGCGACCUCGCGAGAGCAAGCGGACCUCAUAAAGUAUGUCGUAGUCCGGAUUGGAGUCUGCAACUCGACUCCAUGAAGUCGGAAUCGCUAGUAAUCGUAGAUCAGAAUGCUACGGUGAAUACGUUCCCGGGCCUUGUACACACCGCCCGUCACACCAUGGGAGUGGGUUGCAAAAGAAGUAGGUAGCUUAACCUUCGGGAGGGCGCUUACCACUUUGUGAUUCAUGACUGGGGUGAAGUCGUAACAAGGUAACCGUAGGGGAACCUGCGGUUGGAUCACCUCCUU